GAAACAUGCUGUUGUUCAAGUCUAUGAUUACUAUGAACCAGAACGCCAAGCUAAAGUGAUGUACAGAAUUGGUGAGACGGAAUGCUAUGGCAACAGAGUUGGCGCUGAGUGCCCAAGAUGUUUGACUUUGGAGAAUCCAGAUGGAAUCCUGG